rnacentral:rRNA from 1 species
AACGAACGCUGGCGGCAUGCCUAACACAUGCAAGUCGAACGAGACCUUCGGGUCUUGUGGCGCACGGGUGCGUAACGCGUGGGAACCUGCACUUAGGUUCGGACUACCUCUCCGAAAGGGGUGCUAAUACCGGAUAAUGUCUUCGGACCAAAGAUUUAUUGCCUCUGGAUGGGCCCGCGUUGGAUUCGCUAGUUGGUAGGGUAACAGCCUACCAAGGCGACGAUCCAUAGCUUGUCUGAGAGGAUGAUCAGCCACACUGGGACUGAGACACGGCCCAGACUCCUACGGGAGGCAGCAGUGGGGAAUAUUGGACAGUGGGCGAAAGCCUGAUCCAGCAAGGCCGCGUGAGUGAUGAAGGCCUUAGGGAUGUAAAGCUCUUUUACCCGGGAUGAUAAUGACAGUACCGGGAGAAUAAGCUCCGGCUAACUCCGUG